UUCUCCAUAAUUCCAACUUAUGAUUAACUCAACAUUAGUUUUAUCUUUUAAAACUAUAUCAUUCAUAAAUAGCAUGUAUUAAUGAAUAUUGUCUUGAAUAUGCCUAGCAAGCUUGUCCAUAACUAGCGUAAAAAGGUAAGAACUUAAAGUAGGCUCUUAGCGUAGACAUUCAUUAUUGGAAAUUGACUAGUAUUACUACCAGUAGUUCUUACACUACUAAUUACUUCAUUAACAUGUUCUUGAUCUUAU
rnacentral:lncRNA from 1 species